UACGUAGGGGGCAAGCGUUGUCCGGAUUUACUGGGCGUAAAGAGCGUGUAGGCGGCCAUGUAGGUCCGUUGUGAAAACUCGAGGCUCAACCUCGAGACGCCGAUGGAAACCGUCUGGCUAGAGUCCGGAAGAGGAGAGUGGAAUUCCUGGUGUAGCGGUGAAAUGCGCAGAUAUCAGGAAGAACACCCGUGGCUAAGGCGGCUCUCUAGUACGGUACUGACGCUGAGACGCGAAAGCGUGGGGAGCGAACAGG
rnacentral:rRNA from 1 species